rnacentral:rRNA from 1 species
UACGGAGGGGGCUAGCGUUGUUCGGCAUUACUGGGCGUAAAGCGGGUGUAGGCGGAUCUCUAAGUCGGGGGUGAAAGCCCGGGGCUCAACCUCGGAACUGCCUUCGAUACUGGGGAUCUCGAGUAUGGGAGAGGUGAGCGGAAUUCCGAGUGUAGAGGUGAAAUUCGUAGAUAUUCGGAGGAACACCAGAGGCGAAGGCGCCUUACUGGUCCAUUACUGACGCUGAGGUGCGAAAGCGUGGGGAGCAAACAGG